rnacentral:rRNA from 1 species
UACGGGGGGAGCAAGCGUUGUUCGGAUUUACUGGGCGUAAAGGGCGCGAGUAGCGGUCAGCACAAGUCAAGUUGUGAAAUCUCCGGGACUUAACUCGGAAAGGUCAACUGAUACUGUGCGACUAGAGUGGCAGAAGGGCAACUGGAAUUCUCGGUGUAGCGGAUGAAAUGCGUAGUAUAUCAAGUGGAACACCAGUGGCGAAGGCGAAUCCCUGGAAAUACCUGACACUGAGGCACGGAAAGCUAAGGGAGCAAACAGG